GAUGAACGCUGGCGGCGUGUCUAAUACAUGCAAGUCGAGCGAACAGACGAGGAGCUUGCUCCUCUGACGUUAGCGGCGGACGGGUGAGUAACACGUGGAUAACCUACCUAUAAGACUGGGAUAACUUCGGGAAACCGGAGCUAAUACCGGAUAAUAUAUUGAACCGCAUGGUUCAAUAGUGAAAGACGGUUUUGCUGUCACUUAUAGAUGGAUCCGCGCCGCAUUAGCUAGUUGGUAAGGUAACGGCUUACCAAGGCAACGAUGCGUAGCCGACCUGAGAGAGUGAUCGGCCACACUGGAACUGAGACACGGUCCAGACUCCUACGGGAGGCAGCAGUAGGGAAUCUUCCGCAAUGGGCGAAAGCCUGACGGAGCAACGCCGCGUGAGUGAUGAAGGUCUUCGGAUCGUAAAACUCUGUUAUUAGGGAAGAACAAAUGUGUAAGUAACUAUGCACGUCUUGACGGUACCUAAUCAGAAAGCCACGGCUAACUACGUG
rnacentral:rRNA from 1 species